AGAAUCAACGCUGGCGGUGUGCCUAACACAUGCAAGUCGAACGAGAAAGUGGAGCAAUCCAUGAGUAAAGUGGCGCACGGGUGAGUAACACGUGACUAACCUACCCUUGAGUGGGGAAUAACUUCGGGAAACCAAGGCUAAUACCGCAUAACACCUACGGGUCAAAGGAGCAAUUCGCUUAAGGAGGGGGUCGCGGCAGAUUAGUUAGUUGGCGGGGUAAUGGCCCACCAAGACGGUGAUCUGUAUCCGGCCUGAGAGGGCGCACGGACACACUGGAACUGAAACACGGUCCAGACUCCUACGGGAGGCAGCAGUGGGGAAUUUGCGCAAUGGGGGAAACCCUGACGCAGCAACGCCGCGUGGAGGAUGAAGUCCCUUGGGACGUAAACUCCUUUCGAUCGGGACGAUUAUGACGGUACCGGAAGAAGAACGCCCGGCUAACUUCGCGCCAGCAGCCGC
rnacentral:rRNA from 1 species